AUGCUAAUUCUCGGCUGUUUCACAUCAAGGCCAACGGGAGACGCCGCCGCAAUUAUAUUCCCCUUCUGGCUUCUGCAGACCGAUCAUGGCCAAUUCACCACCCAAGCUGACAAGCACACCGAGCUUCACAAGCACUUCUCUGCCACCAUUGGUUCAGUUAAAGCAAGGGACAAAUCGCUUAAUUGGGAUGCCUUGGACCUUCCCAGACUUGACCUUUCCUCCCUGGAUGCUCCGUUCACGGAGGAAAUUAAAGCGGCAGUUUUUGGUCUACCUUCCGGUAAGGCGCCUGGGCUGGACGGUUUCACCGCUGAUUUCUUCAAGCACUGCUGGGAGGUGAUUAAGCAUUAUCUUACUGCAGCCAUCUAUCAGUUCUUCAACCUUCACGGUAAUCACUGGCACAUGUUGAAUUCUGCUCACAUCACUCUUCUGCCCAAA
rnacentral:rRNA from 1 species